AGGAACAAACUUCCAUUACCUCCUACAAACCACUGACCCUGCUCCAGUGAUGCAACCUCGUCUGGUGAGCAUUGGACAUCCCAGCACAACAUCAACACAAUAUGUCAUCGUGGCUGCCAAUGACUACGUAGUCAUUCCACUCCAGGAAGAGGGUCUCACCUGCAGUCUGGACAAACUUUUCAAGUUGUAUUGGACCAUUUUACACCUUUCGAGACUCUUGAGCAGCUUAAGGCCUUCUGUGAACGGCUCGACACUGAUCUUCUGCUCAGAAAGCAGCUGGUGAAAGCUCGUACUGCUCUUGGUGGGCAGAAUUUGGCAGACACGGUGAGGACAAUGCUGAGGAAAAUUGCCACAAACAAAGUCCUGGAGCAGCUUGGCCUCCGUGGAAAGACAGGAAAAGUGGCGUUUGAGGACUUGCCCUUUUACAGAAUAAUAAAUAAGGCAUGCAGGGGUGUUUACAAACAGACGACCACAGCUGAAGUGGAUUGUGAGCUUGGAGAGGUCCUGAAACUGACCGCUUUUCGAAAGGGAGGUUCAAAGUUUGAGGAGAAGAGGAGGAAUUAAGAGGGAGGGCAAAAAAAGAAAAAGAAACAAGCAAAAGAACAGAGAUAGUGACAGUGAGAUGAGUGACCAGGAAGCGACGGCGAAGAAGGGCAAAGGGAAGUGUACAAAGGAAAGAGACAGUGAGAUGAGUGACCAGGAAGCGACGGCGAAGAACAAGGAUAAAGCCAAGAAAACGGACAGUGAGAGUGACAGUGAGAUGAGUGACCAGGAAGCGAAGAGGAAGAAAACAGGGAAAGGGAAAGGGAAAAGAACCAAGCAAACGGGACAGUGAGACCAGUGAGCAUUGAGCAAGUAAACAAAGAGAAGAGAACCAACAAGAAGGGGCAGGAGUACACUGACGCGCACGACCAAGACCACUGCAUUCCAUUUCUAUUGUAUUAUAAUUAUCACUAAGAAAGAAUUAGAGUUUAAUUUUCUGUUUGAGUGUUAGUCCUGACAAUAUAGCACAAAAACAGACGUAAAUAGCAUGUUCCUAAACAGUUCCCUAAACGUUCUAGACAAACGUUCAUGGCUAACGUUCUGCUAACCAAGCAAGAACUCCACAACCUCAAGUUCUUUGAACGUUACAAACUAACGUUCCCAGAACAAUGCCACUAUGUUCUCCUAACGUUCACAUAACGUUCACUUGUUACUGGGUUAUAGUUGAACGAGUGGUCGGCCUAACCAUUGUACAAAAUGUUUUGAUUGUUUGUUAUGGCUAAAGGAUUCAAGGAGGUUGCAGAAUAAACAGGUCCAAAACAACGGGACCUUGACACAUGAGGGAAACACAUACAGUAAAUGGCCACGUCUAUGUAUGAUUCGCAUGAUUCUCGAUUCAUCCAACGUCUCCGGAGGACGUUGUCUGUUUGCAUGACAAUUCAAUCCAACUUUGUACCAUUUUGAUUAUGGGUAAAUAAAACGUUUGUACUAAAUUCACUUUUGUUGCUGUUUAAGAUUCGGACCUUCCACCACAUUGUUAACUAGCAUGUGUUGGUAUUUGGUCACAGAAUCCUUUCGAGGAUUAUUCUACUAAGGUCAAAAGUGCACAUGUCCAUCACAAGUGCUCCAGAGAGUGGUGGCUGUUGCCCCCAGGAAAUCGGGAUCCAACAGCAUUGGAGAUUUGGAGUUUAGGAGAGAUAAUAAAGACAUUAGCAACAUCUGGUAGGAAGCCCCGACAGAUAGGGGUAGAGGAUAGGGGUCGGAGGUCACCCGACUCAAACUGAUCAGAGGAAUAAUGUCAAGGAAAGAUUGACUGGCCAGACUGGCCGGCCCAAAAGCUAGAACAACAAAGAGUAACUGUCUUGGUGUAAAAGAUAUUUAAGGACAGUGGUCCGAGAGACAGCAGAACAGUAAUCCGGCCCAUACUCGUUCUCCUGGAGCUGCAGUUCAAGUCGGAGGCUCGCUGAAACAAAUAAAGCUUUU